UCCUCCAUCUACACUUUUCGAAGAGUGGAUAAAAGACUUCCAUUGGCUUCAAGUCCGCUAUGAAAAUAACUAAAGCAUUCAGUGUAAAGUCUGUGGGACGGAAUUUUCAGAACCAUUCUGUGCUGGACUCAAACCCAUAACAGUCAACUCCACUCUUCAUCUCAAAUCCUGCGUAUACGACGAGCCACCGGGCGAACUGGUAACAGUGUAAAAGCCGUCCAAAUGGAGGUAAACGGUCAGCUGAGUCGAGCUCUAACCCAAAUCAAGCACACCCGAAACAGCAAACCGUCUGCUUAAGACUGACUACAAACUAAGU